rnacentral:rRNA from 1 species
UACGAACUGUGCGAACGUUAUUCGGAAUCACUGGGCUUAAAGGGUGCGUAGGCGGUUUUCUAAGUCAGGUGUGAAAUCUUCCGGCUCAACCGGAAAACUGCGCCUGAGACUGGAUAACUUGAGUGAGGUAGGGGUGUGUGGAACUUCCGGUGGAGCGGUGAAAUGUGUAGAGAUCGGAAGGAACGCCAGCAGCGAAAGCGGCACACUGGGCCUUUUCUGACGCUGAGGCACGAAAGCUAGGGGAGUGAACGGGAUUAGAUACCCUGGUAGU